rnacentral:tRNA from 4 species
AAAAUCCGUUGACUUUAGAAAUCGUGAGGGUUCAAGUC